AAAAACAUGAUAAACCUAUAGGUUCAGCAACAAGUGUGUGUUUGGUUAUUUAUAUUCCGCAGAAUUUCUUAAUCGUGUAUCUGUCAGUGAACCUGAUCGUGUUGUUUUCGGAAAUUUCAUUGAAAUCGUUCGAAAGUGGAAAAAACUCUACUUAAUUUUUAGUUUUACUCCAUGAUUCGAAUUACAAACAAGGCUUCUGUGGGAGGAAUGGUGGCAGAAUGACGAGGCCUUCCAGAUUUCUCCUUUGUCACGAGGUCAGACGCAAUUGGUCCAUCUCGCGAAGCUCUCCAGUUUCAACAUUUUCCAAAUAUUUUAGAAUAUUACAUUGUUUACAUUCGAAUGUCUCUUCUUGGGUGCAACAUCUUGAAUAUUAUUACCAUCAAAUUAUAUACCGAAAUUCAUCUAUAAACUCUGAAGCGUCAAUAUGAAAAAUAAAUAAA